GACGUAGGGUGCAAGCGUUGUCCGGAUUUACUGGGCGUAAAGAGCGCGUAGGCGGUCUAGUAAGUGAGAAGUGAAAUCUCCAGGGCUCAACCCGGAAACUGCUUUUCAUACUGCCAGACUAGAGGGAUGCAGAGGUUUGUGGAAUUCCUGGUGUAGCGGUGAAAUGCGUUGAUAUCAGGAGGAACACCCAUGGCGAAGGCAGCAAACUGGGCAUCAUCUGACGCUGA
rnacentral:rRNA from 1 species